rnacentral:rRNA from 1 species
UACAGAGGCGGCAAGCGUUGUUCGGAAUUACUGGGCGUAAAGGGCGCGUAGGCGGCCCGUCAAGUCCCGUGUGAAAGCCCCCGGCUCAACCGGGGAACGGCGCGGGAAACUAGCAGGCUUGAGUUCGGGAGAGGGAAGCGGAAUUCCGGGUGUAGCGGUGAAAUGCGCAGAUAUCCGGAGGAACACCUGAGGCGAAGGCGGGUUGCUAGGCUGACACUGACGCUGAAGCGCGAAAGCUAGGGUAGCAAACGGG